rnacentral:rRNA from 1 species
UACGUAGGGGGCGAGCGUUGUCCGGAUUUAUUGGGCGUAAAGAGCGUGUAGGCGGUUCGGUAAGUCUGUCGUGAAAUCCUGAGGCUCAACCUCGGACGUGCGAUGGAUACUGCCGGGCUAGAGGAUGGUAGAGGCGAGUGGAAUUCCAGGUGUAGCGGUGAAAUGCGUAGAUAUCUGGAGGAACACCGGUGGCGAAGGCGGCAUCCUGGACCGGUAUUGACGCUGAGGCGCGAAAGCUAGGGGAGCAAACGGG